CCUACGGGUGGCAGCAGUGGGGAAUAUUGGUCAAUGGGCGCAAGCCUGACCCAGCAACGCCGCGUGAAGGAAGAAGGCUUUCGGGUUUUAAACUUCUUUUCUGAGGGACGUAGAAAGUGACGGUACCUCACGAAUAAGCACCGGCUAACUCCGUGCCAGCAGCCGCUGUAAUACGGAGGGUGCAAUCGUUACUCGGAAUCACUGGGCGUAAAGCUUGCGCAGGCGGGCUGUUAAGUCAGAUGUGAAAUCCUGUAGCUUAACUACAGAACUGCAUUUGAAACUAUGAGUCUAGAGUGUGGGGUAGGUAGGUGGAAUUCUUGGUGUAGGGGUAAAAUCCGUAGAUAUCAAGAGGAAUACUCAUGGCGAAGGCGACCUACUGGAACAUUACUGACGCUCAUGCACGAAAGCGUGGGGAGCAAACAGGAUUAGAUACCCUUGUAGUC
rnacentral:rRNA from 1 species